UGCAUCUUAGUUCAAAUGGUAGAACACAACACUUUGAAUGUUGAAGUUUCAAGUUCGAGUCUUGAAGAUGCAUCCA
rnacentral:tRNA from 1 species